UGCAGUCGAGCGGCAGCACAAGGGAGUUUACUCCUGAGGUGGCGAGCGGCGGACGGGUGAGUAAUGCCUAGGGAUCUGCCCAAUCGAGGGGGAUAACAGUUGGAAACGACUGCUAAUACCGCAUACGCCCUACGGGGGAAAGGAGGGGACCUUCGGGCCUUCCGCGAUUGGAUGAACCUAGGUGGGAUUAGCUAGUUGGUGAGGUAAUGGCUCACCAAGGCGACGAUCCCUAGCUGUUCUGAGAGGAUGAUCAGCCACACUGGGACUGAGACACGGCCCACACUCCUACGGGAGGCAGCAGUGGGGAAUAUUGCACAAUGGGGGAAACCCUGAUGCAGCCAUGCCGCGUGUGUGAAGAAGGCCUUCGGGUUGUAAAGCACUUUCAGUAGGGAGGAAAGGGUGAGUCUUAAUACGGCUCAUCUGUGACGUUACCUACAGAAGAAGGACCGGCUAACUCCGUGCCAGCAG
rnacentral:rRNA from 1 species